AUAACGGUCCUAAGGUAGCGAAAUUCCUUGUCGGGUAAGUUCCGACCCGCACGAAUGGCGUAACGAUGGCCACACUGUCUCCUCCUGAGACUCAGCGAAGUUGAAGUGGUUGUGAAGAUGCAAUCUACCCGCUGCUAGACGGAAAGACCCCGUGAACCUUUACUGUAGCUUUGCAUUGGACUUUGAAGUCACUUGUGUAGGAUAGGUGGGAGGCUUUGAAGCAGAGACGCCAGUCUCUGUGGAGCCGUCCUUGAAAUACCACCCUGGUGUCUUUGAGGUUCUAACCCAGACCCGUAAUCCGGGUCGGGGACCGUGCAUGGUAGGCAGUUUGACUGGGGCGGUCUCCUCCCAAAGAGUAACGGAGGAGUUCGAAGGUUACCUAGGUCCGGUCGGAAAUCGGACUGAUAGUGCAAUGGCAAAAGGUAGCUUAACUGCGAGACCGACAAGUCGAGCAGGUGCGAAAGCAGGACAUAGUGAUCCGGUGGUUCUGUAUGGAAGGGCCAUCGCUCAACGGAUAAAAGGUACUCCGGGGAUAACAGGCUGAUUCCGCCCAAGAGUUCAUAUCGACGGCGGAGUUUGGCACCUCGAUGUCGGCUCAUCACAUCCUGGGGCUGUAGUCGGUCCCAAGGGUAUGGCUGUUCGCCAUUUAAAGUGGUACGUGAGCUGGGUUUAAAACGUCGUGAGACAGUUUGGUCCCUAUCUGCAGUGGGCGUUGGAAGUUUGACGGGGGCUGCUCCUAGUACGAGAGGACCGGAGUGGACGAACCUCUGGUGUACCGGUUGUAACGCCAGUUGCAUAGCCGGGUAGCUAAGUUCGGAAGAGAUAAGCGCUGAAAGCAUCUAAGCGCGAAACUCGCCUGAAGAUGAGACUUCCCUUGUGGUUUAACCACACUAAAGAGCCGUUCGAGACCAGGACGUUGAUAGGUGGGGUGUGGAAGCGCGGUAACGCGUGAAGCUAACCCAUACUAAUUGCUCGUGAGGCUUGACUCU
rnacentral:rRNA from 1 species